rnacentral:rRNA from 1 species
UACGUAGGGUGCAAGCGUUAAUCGGAAUUACUGGGCGUAAAGCGUGCGCAGGCGGUUUUGUAAGUCUGUCGUGAAAUCCCCGGGCUCAACCUGGGAAUUGCGAUGGAGACUGCAAGGCUAGAAUCUGGCAGAGGGGGGUAGAAUUCCACGUGUAGCAGUGAAAUGCGUAGAGAUGUGGAGGAACACCGAUGGCGAAGGCAGCCCCCUGGGUCGAGAUUGACGCUCAUGCACGAAAGCGUGGGGAGCAAACAGG